GACGAACGCUGGCGGCGUGCUUAACACAUGCAAGUCGAACGGAAAGGCCCUGCUUGCAGGGUGCUCGAGUGGCGAACGGGUGAGUAACACGUGGGUGAUCUGCCCCUUACUUUGGGAUAAGCCUGGGAAACUGGGUCUAAUACUGGAUAGGACCAUGCUGUAGGUGGUGUGGUGGAAAGAUUAGUUUCGGUAAGGGAUGAGCUCGCGGCCUAUCAGCUUGUUGGUGGGGUAAUGGCCUACCAAGGCGUCGACGGGUAGCCGGCCUGAGAGGGUGGACGGCCACAUUGGGACUGAGAUACGGCCCAGACUCCUACGGGAGGCAGCAGUGGGGAAUAUUGCACAAUGGGCGCAAGCCUGAUGCAGCGACGCCGCGUGGGGGAUGACGGCCUUCGGGUUGUGAACUCCUUUCAGCCAUGACGAAGCCCUUGUGGUGACGGUAGUGGUAGAAGAAGCACCGGCUAACUACGUG
rnacentral:rRNA from 1 species